AGCAGUAAUUAGCUUUUAUUAAAUACGCGUACAUCCGGAAUGACAUCUGCUAUUGUAAUUACCGAGAUCAUCUGACUAUACUUGAUUACACGUGAUCUGCAAAGUAUGCUUAUUCCGCGCAUAUUUCUAAUUAAGCUUUUAAGUAAAUUAGCUGGACGUGGAUUUGCCAUACUGAAUUUAGAUUAAUGGAGCAAAUACAAUCAUAUUUCUGGUAUAUAAACGUCUGCAUUUUAGUUUCAGUUACCGAAUACUCAGAAUCCUCCGAGCAACGUCUAAGUAACGAUCACACACGAUGAACACCAAACUGCUGAUGUGUUUGUUAGUGGCGACCGCAGUGCUUCUGACGAGUGCUCCGGUAGCAAACGCCCGAAACGUUUACGGGUAUGGCGGAAACUAUGGCUACCCCGGAAACUAUGGCUUCUCUGGAAACUAUGGCUUCCCCGGAUACUAUGGCGGCCUCGGAAACUAUGGCUGGAACGGCGCGGGAGACUAUGACGAUGACGAUUAUUAUGGCGGAUGGUUGGGAGGACUUUUUGGAAAAGGCAAAUAUGGAUGGGGCAAAUAAUAACUGCGAUGAAGUUGUGCUUAAAGAAAAGCGCAUCUUCUAAGGCCAUAAUUGGACAAACAUACAGCAGCCGUUUUCAUGUGAUUGACGGUCCUAUAUUGUUUUGCAAAACAAUACAUACACUUUAUCGCAAAUCGACUUGGUAUUAUAUAUUUCAUUUGAAUACACACGG